rnacentral:rRNA from 1 species
UAUCCGGAUUUGUUGGGUUUAAAGGGAGCGUAGGCGGACGCUUAAGUCAGUUGUGAAAGUUUGCGGCUCAACCGUAAAAUUGCAGUUGAUACUGGGUGUCUUGAGUACAGUAGAGGCAGGCGGAAUUCGUGGUGUAGCGGUGAAAUGCUUAGAUAUCACGAAGAACUCCGAUUGCGAAGGCAGCCUGCUGGACUGUAACUGACGCUGAUGCUCGAAAGUGUGGGUAUCAAACAGGAUUAGAUACCCUGGUAGUCCACACAGUAAACGAUGAAUACUCGCUGUUUGCGAUAUACAGUAAGCGGCCAAGCGAAAGCGUUAAGUAUUCCACCUGGGGAGUACGCCGACAACGGUGAAACUCAAAGGAAUUGACGGGGGCCCGCACAAGCGGAGGAACAUGUGGUUUAAUUCGAUGAUACGCGAGGAACCUUACCCGGGCUUGAAUUGCAACUGAAUGAUGUGGAGACAUGUCAGCCGCAAGGCAGUUGUGAAGGUGCUGCAUGG